AGCAGCCGCGGUAAUUCCAGCUCCAAUAGCGUAUAUUAAAGUUGUUGCAGUUAAAAAGCUCGUAGUUGAAUUUCGGGACUAAUAUGUCGGUCGUGCCUCGGUACGUACUGGUAUUUUUGGUUUCUCCCUUCUGACGAACCUUGAUGUCAUUAAUUUGGUGUCUUGGGAAAUCAGGACUGUUACUUUGAAAAAAUUAGAGUGUUUAUAGCAGGCUUACGCUUGGAUACAUUAGCAUGGAAUAAUGAAAUAGGACGUUUGACCCUAUUUUGUUGGUUUCUAGGAUCGACGUAAUGAUUAAUAGGGAUAGUUGGGGGCAUUAGUAUUCAAUUGUCAGAGGUGAAAUUCUUGGAUUUAUUGAAGACUAACUACUGCGAAAGCAUUUGCCAAGGAUGUUUUCAUUAAUCAAGAACGAAAGUUAGGGGAUCGAAGACGAUCAGAUACCGUCGUAGUCUUAACCAUAAACUAUGCCGACUAGGGAUCGGAUGAUGUAAUUUUUAAUGACUCAUUCGGCGCCUUACGG
rnacentral:rRNA from 1 species